rnacentral:rRNA from 1 species
UACGGGGGGGGCAAGCGUUGUUCGGAAUUACUGGGCGUAAAGGGCUCGUAGGCGGCCAACUAAGUCAGACGUGAAAUCCCUCGGCUUAACCGGGGAACUGCGUCUGAUACUGGUUGGCUUGAGUGUGGGAGAGGGAUGCGGAAUUCCAGGUGUAGCGGUGAAAUGCGCAGAUAUCGGGAAGAACACCCGUGGCGAAGGCGGCUCUCUGGAACGCAACUGACGCUGAGACGCGAAAGCGUGGGGAGCAAACAGG